rnacentral:rRNA from 1 species
CCAGCCACACUGGAACUGAGACACGGUCCAGACUCCUACGGGAGGCAGCAGUGGGGAAUAUUGCACAAUGGGCGCAAGCCUGAUGCAGCCAUGCCGCGUGUAUGAAGAAGGCCUUCGGGUUGUAAAGUACUUUCAGCGGGGAGGAAGGGAGUAAAGUUAAUAC